ensembl:lncRNA
GUGAGUUCUUACACAGGCUGAGCUUGAACUGGGGAAGUAAGCCAGAGGACAUUUUCCUUCAAAAUCAUCUCAGGAAAAAGAACAAUCUCUCAGACAAUUGGGAUCAAUGGUAGCCCAGAUCUGAAGUAAUAUACAAUUCAAAGAUAACAGUCAUAAUCUCUAUUACUUAAGAAAAGCAAGAGAUUUAUUUUUUUCCAUAGAUUGAUUUGCUUCAUUGUAAAUAGCGAGGAACUGAAACAUCCAGUAUGAAUACCAAAACUCUUCUGUGGUGAGUGCUUGAUUUUUAAAUUAUAUCCUGUUUUAAAUUCCAAGUCUCCUCCCUAAGUUAAAGCCUUUCCACAAGAGGCAGCAUGCAUUCGUAACAAUUUAAUUGAGUUUAUUUGAUGUUAUAAUCAUGCCAUUAGUUAAUUUAGCACAGUUCUAUGUGGGUCCUAGGAAUAAUGACACGUGCAGCUCGGUUGCUAUACUGCUCUGCAGCACAAGCCAGGAGAAACUAAAAGAAACAAGUCCCAUGCAGAAAGCUUCAAGUUUUAAGGUUCUUUAAAUAAAAAGAUGUCAUUUAAAUGGCAGCUAGGAGCACGGUGGAAGGAGAUCCUAAAGUAAUCAGGUGGUGGGGUGGUACAAAGCAAAUGUUCUCUUUGCAGGGCUGGCAUCGUGUGGUGUGUUUUCUGAAGUGAACAACACCUAUGGCAUUCACUUAUGCUUGAGUUAUCAUUCCUUUCAGACCUUGCACAUCUGUUUCUGGGUCUCUCUUUGGAAGCACUGGAAAGGAAAAGCUUGAAAGAAAGCACUCUUUCACAGGCCCUUGUUCCAUCGUGCCGUGCUGUUUGCACACAGACUGCUGGUGGCUGCGCAACACAGGAGUGUGGGGCUGGGAAAGGAUCGGGAGUGCUGAGUGUGCAGUCUGCACCCAGCAUCACACCACAGCUUCCCCCAGACGGCACACUGCUGCGCGUGGAGCAGAAAUCUGCCUCUGUUUCCUAUUUUAUAGAAACUGAAAUGACCGCAGUGGAUCUGUCCCUAGCUGCUAUCCAGCAGGCCCUGCUUUAAUUUUAGAAUAUGUUUGGGACUUUCCCUUCUGAGGGUCUUCAGACCUGAUUUUCUGGAUAGAGACAGAAACUGCUUUUAAGACCUCUACUAUGUGUACAGAGCCAUGAGAUCGUGUGCAGAAGCUGAAGACCUACAAGAGGUAAAGAAGCAGUGAGCUCUUCUCUACUUACCUCCUCCAUGCAGAUCCCCGAAAGUCAUGCGGUUAAUAUCACAUUUUCAGUUCAUAAAUGAAUACAUACUCUACUCUUAAUGUAGACAUUCUUAAAAGCUUUCAUUAUUUGUGCUAGAUUACAAACGAGUUCCUUUUAUUGAAUCGUCAUGGUGACAAGUGUUAUUACAAUAAAUAUAUUUAAGGAAUUUUUAAAAAUGCAGCAGAUUUCUCCAUCUUUUUGUUAUCAUCAUGUCUCUUUUUUCAGAGGUGUCUGAAUAGAGCUGUAUGACAAACAGAGUUGAUUCCCGAGCGCUCCUGUACAGGCCAUUAUCUGCCCAUCACAAGGCAGAAAGUACUCGAAAAGAAUUCUUGCUGCUAGGUAGAGUAACAUGAUGUCCCCACAUCUGAGUUUCAAAACACAUUUUUAGGGGGCAGGAGAGAAGUUCCUAUAUUCAAAUCACACAUUUGAAUCACUGAGAAUUGUAAUAUCGUGCAAAACUAGGUUUCUGGUAUAUUUUUAGUAUUCAGAUGAGAUUGUGCCAUGAAUAACCGAUCCAUUUUUGACUGUACCAUUUUAGGAAAAAAAAUGUUUUUACUAAACAAUUAGCAAAUUUCCUCCAAAAGCUGCCCUGAUAAGGAAGAGAGCAUCACAUGGCACGUUUGGGAUGCGUGCAAACACGUGCCACGUGGGCCACUGAGCAGAGCGGCGUGACAGCAGCUUGCUAUGAUUGCUCCAUCACGCCGAUGGCAGAGCCCCUUUGGAGUUUGGAACAGGAACGUUACAGUGAACAGAAACCACCCAUGCUUUCUUUUGCCUGGAAGACAAGAUUAUAUAGACAUACAUAUGCAUGAAAUGAGUUCUAUUUAAAAUGCUUUAAUUUCUAUGAACCUCCCCUCCAAAAAGAAUUCCCCCCCCAAAAAAACCUGACGGGAACUUUCUCUUCACUUCAGCUUUUUCUCGUCCGGAAAAGUCUCUAGACAUCAUUCCAACGAACCGCCCCUCCGGCCCCGGCAGGGCUGCGCUCCCCGCCCCGCUGCCGACGGUGCCCCGGG